rnacentral:lncRNA from 1 species
CUUAAACACAUCUGUAGGCUGUUAUCUUCCUCUCUCAUCAGUGUUCUAUACAUGCUGAGAGAGUUUCUGUCUUCUGCUGACCCACAGCAGAUUUUGAGGGUGUGAUUUAUAAGUUCUACUAAGAUCCUUUUCAUCGUUCAUUUAUGGUAUGGAGUUGGUUGAACAGAAGCCUGGAUUAUAACUCAGGAUUAUAUUUACAAUGCCUGGAGGUCACAUUAUCACUUUGAUGCUUCUAAUUUGGUCAUUUGUUGGUGGAGGGAUUUGUGAGCGUAAUGUGGAGGGUGUGUUACACGGUCGAGUGGAGCUCCACGCAUGCCAUAGACCCCAACAAACUGUGAGAAGAGUGGAAUGGGCUAAAUAUAAAAGUUCAUCAGCACCACGUCUGUUAUAUAUAUUUGAUCAGCCAAAUGACACUUCAUGCUUCUUCAACUCUUGCCAAAAUAUUCAGUUAAUUAAAGAGAAUAUGAGUCUUAUUUUUGUUAAUCUGACAAAAGAAGAUGAAGGUGUUUAUCAGAAUAAAUUAUUGCUUAAUUAUAGGACAGCAGAGUCAUGUAACAUCACUUUAUCUGUACUAUCUCCUCCGACUGCAUUAAGGAUAUCUGUGUCCAGUUCUAACUGCACUCUGACCCUGAGGUGUGAGGUGAGAGGACAGUUUCUGAACCUGCACUGGUUUUGGAACGGCCUCCUGCUGCUGCCAGAUGACCAGAGAAUCAGCAUCAGUGAGAGGAACCUGACUGUGCAUGUGUCUAACCUGAACCGCUCAGACUGGGGGACGUACACCUGUCGGGCUUCAAAUGAAGCUGGGACGUCAGAGGCACAUGUGAACAUCACAGAUAACAGUGCUACACUAUGUCAGGACAACAUACAAGAAGAAGAAGAAGAAGAAGAAGAAAAAGAACAACUUUCUACGAAGUUCCUGUACUUAAGUGGGCUCACACUUGGCACCACCAUGCUUUUGUCCAUCAUUUUAGUUUGCAUUUGCAAAAAUGAGAACGGAUAUAAGGAAUUCAUAUCCUCUCAGGCAGAAACUUCAGAGGUGGAGUUUUUGCCGUACCUUUAUGCAGACUUCAUAAAGCCCAAAGCUCUGCAGCAGGCUGCAGAUGAAGGGGAACUUGCUGAGGACUUUACCAAAGUUUUCUACAGUACUGCAGAAUAAGCUCCGCCCUCAAACUGCAGGGUAAUGGAACCACAGGUCUGAACAGUGGUCUUUUGAGAUGCAUUUUUUUACACUGAAAUGUAUUUGUGUGCACAAUUUCUACUGUAAAUAAAUUAGAUAUUAUUAGUUACUGAGGUACA